AGAGAGAGACAUGCGCGCAUAUCAAUAAGCGGAGGAAAAGAAACUAACUAAGGAUUCCCCUCAGUAACGGCGAGUGAAGCGGGAAGAGCUCAAAUUUGAAAUCUUAAAGGGUUUCCCUUUACGAAUUGUAGUUUAAAGAAGUGUUUUCUGUUGAGGUUUUGGUAAAAGUUCUUUGGAGUAGGACAUCAUAGAGGGUGAGAAUCUCGUAUUUGACCUUUACUUUCAACUUUGUGAUACACUUUCAAAGAGUCGGAUUGUUUGGGAAUGCAGUCCAAAAUGGGUGGUAAAUUUCAUCUAAAGCUAAAUAUUGGCGAGAGACCGAUAGCGAACAAGUACCGUGAGGGAAAGAUGAAAAGAACUUUGAAAAGAGAGUUAAACAGUACGUGAAAUUGUCAAAAGGGAAGCGUUUGACACCAGUGUUGUUUUUCUGAAAAUCAAUUAAAGAACUGUUUAUGCUAAGUUGUUUAGACUUUAUCAGCUAACUGUUUAGUUUUGAGCUUUUCUUUAAUGCACUUUUCAGUUAACAAGUCAACAUCAAUUUCUUUUGCUGUAAAAAAGCUUGAGGAAGGUGGCUUGAGAUUCGUCUUAAGUGUUUAUAGCCUCUUGCCUAUGCAGUCGGAGAGAUUGAGGUCUGCAGCGUAGAUCCUUCGGGGCUAAAUGCAUUUGUGCUAAGUUAUAGCAUUUUAUAGACAACUUGUUGACUAUGAUUUGUCUUGUAGCUUACUCGCUUAUGUUAUUUUACCUACGCUUAGGAUGUUGAGCGCAUGUCUCUCUCU
rnacentral:rRNA from 1 species